rnacentral:misc_RNA from 1 species
GAUGAAGAACGCAGCGAAAUGCGAUAAGUAAUGUGAAUUGCAGAAUUCAGUGAAUCAUCGAAUCUUUGAACGCACCUUGCGCUCGUUGGUAUUCCGACGAGCAUGCCUGUUUGAGUGUCAUUAAAUUCUCAAUCUUACCAGUUUUACUGUGUAAGGCUUGGAUGUGGGGGUUUGUGCAGGUUGCCUCAGUGCGGUCUGCUCCCCUGAAAUGCAUUAGCGAGUUCAAACUGAGCUCCGUCUAUUGGUGUGAUAAUUAUCUACGCCGUGGACGGUUCUUAGACUUGCUUCUAACCGUCCGCAAGGACAACUUUUGACAAUUUGACCUCAAAUCAGGUAGGACUACCCGCUGAACUUAAGCAUAUCAAUAAGCGGAGGA